GCUUCUUCUGCAAGUCAAUCUUCUUAUCCCUGGUCACUGCAGGGGCAAACGCCACGUACACAUCACAGGAUUAGUUCGGACCGGUACCGUGCACGUCACAUGCCCGCAAGUCUCAACAAGGCACAGAAAUCGUUCCACAAUGUGUGUGGGGACUCUCUCUGGAGUGACAUCUGCGGGUAUGGUUAUCUCCUCAGCUCGGUAAGGAACCUGACAGAACACAUUCACGUCACUUCAACGUUGGGAACUCCUCGCUGACCAGAGACAUGAUGAGAGACGUCUUUCCCACCUUGGCUGUGAAGCAAAUAAUACAAAAGAGGAUUUAGAAGUCAUUGCACCAAACUACACCAUCUGUUGCCCUGGAAGUUUUUGGACACGGACCAAAUACCAUCAUCAUACUUGACAUAAUAGCAUAUUGUGAAUCUAAUGUCCUUUAAAGCCCCUGGAAAAUUGAGGUACACCAUAAAAUGCCAUAUGUAUAUUUAUCUUUUUUUUUUUUAGCAUAUUUCAUCUCCCAAGCACCCCAAUUUCAUUAUGCGACAGACAUUCUGAUUUUGUUGUCUUUCGGUUAUAUUUUUUAAUUGACCUACAAUAGAGUACAUGCUUUUUAUUGAAUAGCAACAAUAAGAGUACAGUUAAGAUGACUGUUAAAGGAAUUUCUUUUAAAAAAGAAAAAGAAAAACACCAGAAUAAAUGGCAAUUCAAAUGUUUUUGGUUGCAUGUACAAAAAUAAUUUUUUUGCGCACUUUUGUCCACAUAUUUUUGAAUAAUCUUGCAGAAAUCAAUAAACAACCAAAUCAAAAUGAGUGUCGUGUGCCGUUGCAACAGUGCAUGAAACAAUUCGUCUGUUUUACACGUAGUACAGUAAAGUAAAACUACUUAUAAUUAAUGUACUGAAGAGGUCAUGUGCUAUCCAACUUUGCACAGAACAUCUUCGCAAGGCGUGUUAACUUGGGUGUGAUCAUGUCCUCAAGGUUAUAAAUAAUGUCCUGUUACUGCUAAUAGUGAAUAGGAUGCCCACGUUUUGUGAGAAAUAGAUGACAGCACAAGACAUCCAGUUACCGUAUAGGAAUGCAGAUGGACGUCACACAGCAGGGAAAUGAAUGAAAAGGUACACUCACGUUCCCCAACCAGCAAGAUCCUUACGUCCUUGCGCAUCGUCGCCGGUGUGUCGUUCACCCACGCCGCGGCCGUGCAAUGUGUCGCACAUGUA